CCCUUAGAUGUCCUGGGCCGCACGCGCGCUACACUGAUGCAUUCAACGAGCUUAUAACCUUGGCCGAGAGGCCUGGGCAAUCUUGUUAACGUGCAUCGUGAUAGGGAUAGAUUAUUGAAAUUAUUAAUCUUGAACGAGGAAUUCCUAGUAAACGCAGAUCAUCAAUCUGAAUUGAUUACGUCCCUGCCCUUUGUACACACCGCCCGUCGCACCUACCGAUUGGAUGGUCCGGUGAAGCCUCGGGAUUGUGGUUCUUGCCGCUUUAUUGUGGCGUGACCGCGAGAACUUGUCUAAACCUUAUCAUCUAGAGGAAGGUGAAGUCGUAACAA
rnacentral:rRNA from 1 species